GUAAGUUCAGAGUUGAAUUAUCUUGAUCAUAUUUGAUAAUACAACUUCUGGGCUUCCAG
rnacentral:pre_miRNA from 1 species